UCACUGAAGCCCGGAUCCGUAGUAGUGCUAUUUGGUUUCCUGCACUUCACACUAUCUCAAUUCUUAUCACAGUACUUGGGAACAUCAAUCUCCAAUUCAGUUUAGUCUUGAAAAUAGUUUUGCAGUCGAGUAUGUCAGUAUUUCUAAUAUGAUGCUGCUCGUAAAUUGAACCAAUUUCUUAAAUUUGCCAAAUUCAGAUUUCUUAAAUUGAACCAAGCCAACCCUGCCCAUCUGAUUAGGUGGACUUCUCAUCUGCUGGAAUAGAUGUAUCAGUUGAUCUCAGUUUGGCAGUAACCAAAUAAACCAGAAAAUGUUGUAAAAAGUACUUAGAGUGAGGAUAAGAGCAUGUGCACAAUAAUUCAGAUGUUUCUAGCACCACAGAAAUACAAAUAAACAGUACCAGAGGGACAUAAUCAAGCACAAUUCACAUAUAUUUGAGAGAUGAGAUAUAUAACUUCAUGGAAUUGACACAAGAGAAGGUUUCUUGGACUCACCUUGGAGAGAGCGGAUAGUAGGACGAUCCUGAUGGAGAGCAACACUGAUAGGGAAGGUAGAAUUUUGCUUUGGUAUAUAUUUAGCUCAGUAUCUACCUAAAUGAAAUGAAACAAAAUCAGCGAGGGAGUUUUAAAAAUAAAAUACCGCUGACCUCCUAAAUGCAGUAAUCACAGCUACAGCAAAACCAACUUCAUUCAGCUUGGAUGUUUUCAUUAGUAAAAUCACAACUCAGACACUACCGCAAAAAAAAGAUAAGAACCAAUGUUGAAAUCCAAUCAUCAGAAGAACAAAAACGAUGGAGUAUAGUAUAACAGUGGAAGUACAGUAAAUAUAUAUGCUUAAUUCUCUGAUCCCAUACUUCCCCUAUUGUCACAUCAAUACCGUACACUUGAUGAUUUGAAAUUCGAAUCGUCAUAUACUGCUAUACAUGUGGCAAAUGUGAAAAAAUAACUGAAAGAUCAAAAAUCUGAUUUUGGAGAUCUUAACAAAUGUAAAUUGUCUAAAAUACCCUAGAAAGAAAAAGAUGCUCCCACAAUCACAUGGUCACUCAUUGAAAGUCACAAUCUGAUUAGGUGGACUUAUAAUGUACUGCAAUAGAUGUAUCAGUUGAUCUCAGUUUGGCAGAAACCAAAUAAAUCACAAAAUGUUGUAGAAAGUACUUAAAAUGAAGAUAAGAUCAUGUCCACAAUAAUUUAGAUGUUUCUAGGACCACACAAAUACAAAUAAACAGUACCAGAGGCACAUAAUCAAGCACAGUUCACAUAUAUUUGAGAGAUGAGAUACAUAACUGAAUGGAAUUGACACAAGAGGAGGUUUCCAGGACUCACCUACGGCCAGCGGGCAUGCAGUGGGCAGCAACAGCAAGCCUUUUACCUGCAAGAAGUAUUUGAGAUGUCAAGGAUUUUGUUGCAGGAAUCACUAUAUUGGUAAAUACAAGGUGCAAAAGAAUAAUUAAUAUCAGAGAAUCAAGAGAAUAAUUAAAUAAUUAAUAACUGGAAAAUAAGUACAUGUGCAGCUAAAAUAACCCAUUCAUGGAGUACCCUACGCAUUCAUGAGUUAUACACAAUGUGCAAGUAUCUAUAAUCGAUGGAAUAAAGCAUAUAAUAGUUGCUUGAAGUUUAUAUUAUCUAUUCACAAGGAACAUGAUGCUCUGAAAUUAAGUUCAGAAUCAUUUAUUCAUCAACCUUUGUAAGCUGUUUUCAGAGUUAAGUUCAGAAUCAUUUAUUCUAACUAUCAUUAUAAUUUUUCAUCUGAUUUACAGGAAGAAACUUUUGCCACCUUCAUGUAGUUGUUAUCCAUGUUUUCUUCAUGCAUAUUUUCACCAGAUACUGGUUAUAAUGGGUUGCAUGGCUGUUCUUCCGAGAUUUCCAACAGUGUGCAGAGCUGAUAUAACUCAAUCAUGCAUGGUAUUAUUCCAUCCAGACCAAUCUGAAUUAUAUUUGUUGAAUCGACAACCCAAUUGAGACCAUAUGAAUCCUUGCAAUGUGGCUUUCUAUUGGUAAAUUAGAGCUAAAAAACAAUAUCACUACGAUAGGAACGUUUUUUUGGUCAAACUGAACUGAAAAGAAUUUGUGGAAAGUCAGAACAUAAUUGAACUACAAAAAUAAUAUCACUACAACUGUUUUAACCAUAAUUGUUGCCCUAUGAUGGAAAGUCAGAACUAUUGAUAUGGCAUGUCAGCAAGAUUUGUUUUCUUUUCAGCAACAGAGAAACUGUCAAAUAAAACUAUAAGGAGUCACGGAACAUUCGCUCAUUUGGAAUAAUAGAUGAAUCUGUUACAAAGUAAUAAUAUAGUCUAAUAUGAUACAAUCAGAUAAGUUUUGUACAGGUUGAAUCUCAGUUGAUGAGGAGCAGUUGAUAAUAAUAUGUUGUUGAUGAUGUGUUGAGCUAUACCGUGAAAUGAGAUGGCAGUGAGAUGGGUGGCGAGCAGGGACAGCGGUCAGGCCAUCAGGAUCGUGUUGGCGUCCUUAUAAGGUCAGGCCAUCAGGGUCGACGGUUGGUGAGGCGUUGAUCCAGGGUCGUGUCGGCGUCCGGCGUUGAUCGGCGUCCGGUCUCCAGGUGGUGCAGCAUGAUGGCGAUGGCGAAGGUAGAGCCGUAGAGGUGCGGGCGCGGCGGCAGGGAGGGAUGAGGGCGGUGGCAGGGAACGUUACGGCGGCAGGGGAGGGAUGCGGUUCAGAGAGAGAGGAGCGGAUCUGGGAGAGCGAGAGACGAGCGGAUCUGA
rnacentral:lncRNA from 1 species